ACAACAGGCUCAACCAAUCAGAGUGAGAGCUGCGUUUUUCCCUCGGCUUUCAGUCCGCUGCUGUCUGCAGUUCGCGAUGGCUGAACGAGCUGGGGCACUGUUUAGACCAGCGGUACUCAGCUGACAGUCUGUGGGCCACGUCCAGCCCGCAGGUUCAUUCUUUGUGGCCCUUGGUCCACCAGGACAGGGAUGCACUGACAUCUGGCCAGGUCAGAUGUCUUACCUGUCGUAUUCCGAUGCCAGGAAAAGGCAGAUUGCAAUGCUGAGAUGGUUCUGGACCACAUCACCUGGCCAGAUGAAGAAGAGCUGGAGGAUGACAGCGAAUCUCCUCUUGCUGUGAAAUGUUAGAUCACAAGCUACUUGCGUAGAUUUGUUGAGACAGGUAUUUGGCUUUUUUCUGGUUACACUCAAACUACAGCUUUAUUUAUAAAGCGCUUUUCAAACAAAAAAAUGAAACUCAAAUAGCUUCAGAGGAAGAAAAAAAAUGACCCACAGAUUGAAAAGACCUGACAUAUCCCACAAAAUUCAUUGUCAAUUGAAACCCCCUUCCCCGACCCAGUAACACGCAUAUGCACACACACACAUACCCACAUGCACACACAACACAUUAGAGAACAUAUGCAAACACUGGGCAGAGCUCAGAUGAGUCAGGAAACGCCAUCAGGCGAGCCGUCUGAUCCAACUCCAGUAGAUCCACGGCAGCAGCCAGGGCACCGAGACAGGGCUCACAGAGGAGGGAGGACAAGGGCCCCCACCUACACCCAAGCACUACCUGGAGAGCACCCAGGCCACUGCCGCUGACCACUGGCCCUGAGGCAGAGGGCUCCCACUGAGGAAACGCUGUAAAGUAUUAGAAUAAGUAAAAGAAUGAAAUAAAAAGAGGUAAUGUAUGAAUAAGUAGUGAUCAAUAUAAUUGUAGAAAUAGUAAAACAAUAUCAAAUCAUAAAUAUAUAACAAAACUUUCUUAAAAUAUAAGAAAUUUAAUCAUAAAUAAUAAGCAGUUAAAAGCUAAGCUAAAAAAGUUCAUUCUUCGGCCUGCUCUUAACAUUUCUCUCUGGUCCUGAGGUCCUCAGGCAGCCUGCUCCAGAGGCAAGGGCCAUUAUAUUGUAAGGACGCCUGACCAUUGUUGUUUGUCCUGACAUUCGGGAUCACAAGGCGAUGGCUGCAAGAGGAGUGCAGAGGACGUGAGGGUUUGUAUGGUAAAGUCAGUUCAGAAAGGCUAGAAGGGCCAAGACCAUUAAGACACUUUAAA